CACCACGCGCAGCCAGUCCGGUGAGUGGUGUUUCCUUGUAAACUUACGAAUCGGAGAUGCCAGUACAUAAUACACCGAAGAAUGAGGACUUUACCUAGGAUUUCAUGUGAGAAUUGAGUCUCCUGUGAUAUCUUUACAAGUUCCAUGCACUUCCUACAGCCAUGAUGUUGUGUCAUCUGCUAAAGUCAGAAGAAUAUAUGUGAGGGUUACAGCAAGAUUCCCCAGGAUCGUGGUAGAAGUGGACACACGGCAUAUUUCCUUUUCUUUCUAUUGCAAAGAAUUUGCUUAAGUUGAGGCAUGCUCAGAUGUGUUUGGUAUGCACUGACCUUGAGAUUGAGGUUUAUACCUGCAUGGUCCACAAACAAUUUUCAUCUUCAUGAAGAUUCGUUAAUAGACUUGCCAUUUAUUAGAGAGAGGUUUCCUACUAUGUAGGGAAUUGUAUAGAACUCCCUUGAGACAUUAGGCAAGAUAUUUCAUGCCUAUUUCACUUAUUCGGAUUGUAAGCUCUUUAGGGCAGAGACUGUCUAAUUGUACUGUACGAACAAGGCUGUCUUAAUUUUACUUUGGGCAUCUAAUUGCUCCUGGAAUAUCAUCUGAUCUCUACACCUGCCUGUAUGUUUGACUGAAAUUCAGAUCUGCAAAAAUACAGCAUCUUUAGAGAAGUACUUUUGCUAUCAUGUAGGUAACUGAAAGAACUACAGCAACAACAAAGAGAAGACAUAGAUUUGCUAAAGCCAUAACUGUAACCAACUCUAAGCUACCUAUUUUAUUUCACUUUGAAGGCAUUUGACUGCAACUAACUUUUCAGAAAUACUUUCAAUCCUAUUUCUCACUGCCCCAACACUUUGUAUAUUUUCCCUUAACCUUCCCAAUAAUCUUCUCCCUGUUAAUACCCCUGGCUUUACUGGCAUAUUUAGACACAGAAAAUGAGUGCAAUAAUGUCUAAUCUCAUGUCAGAUAUGACUUAAUUUAUCCCCAGGAGCAGCAGUUUCAUAAAAAAAACCUAACUUUCCUGUACAAUAUCCAUUUGUAUCACUCAAAAAUGUAAAACUACUUUUAAAUACUUUAAGUCAAAUCAAUAAGCUAAAAUAAGAACAGGUGCUUCAAUUAAACACACUAUUCUUCAUUGGUGGUAGCAUGUAUGCCAGGCCCGUAUGUGGCAAUAAACUGUAACAGCUGUUGGUAGCACUGCCUGAGGUAAACAUCUCUUUGCUGCAGGGAGCUCUCAUCAGUGAGGUCAAAUGGAAACACAGCGUUGGGAGCAACACAAAAUAUGGAGGCACCUACAUAUGGAAGAUUUGAAAUUAGAAGAUUGUGUUAAUAGAUUUCAUGCCUGUUACUAGAAAAUCCUCCUUACCAGUUUGUUCAUUUUGGUUACGUAGCAAGAAACACUAACAAAGAAUUCAUUUAGACCCAAUAGUGUUAACAGCAAACACCUGUUAGUUAAAGCUGAAGUAUUUUACCAUGCUUUAAUGUGAGAGAGGAUUCAAGCAACAAGACAGCUAUCAGUACAUCUUCUUCAAGUACUUUCCUCCUCAAGCUCAACUUUGCAUGUGCUUCAGACAGUGAAACUCUUGGAGACAAAAAUGCCAAUAUCAGACAUGAUGCUGGCUAAUUGUACAAAAAAUAAAGCAAGGAUUAUUUCACUUUUUCAAACACUGCAAUGGAAUAAGUAAAUGGCUAAUUACUGUGGUGUGUGGAUUGUCACUAAAGCUUAGAUCACCUUGCUUUUCUGUACGUUAUCGUGGCCACUUGAAAUUAUUCUAAUGUGCCGCCAAAUAUGGAGUAGUGUGUUACACCACCGAGCAAUAAUUUGCUGUCACAGGUAAAUAUGUCAAGAAGAAAUUCUUUAUACAUCACAUGUCUUACAGCAUUUUUAAAUACAGGUUAUAUAACUAACAUAUACUGCAGUGCUCAGGUAGAGAGGUAAAGCUUAAGGGAACUGCAACAAUCAGAACUUACGUUUCCUUUGGUUCUUAAAUAAGAAUUGUUUUAAUGCCUGAAGAAUGAGCAAAUACUAUGUUUUCUCUCAUAUGCCCUCUGUUUUCCCUCCCCAAAACAACUGGGGGGAAAGUGUCCUCAUUAUAUGCAAAGAAAAGGGAUCUGGAAUUUUGGGGGUGUGGAUAGGAGUAGUGCAAUGGCAGCUUUAAUUGCUGCUGCUCAUGGAACUGGCAAUUCCUGUUGCCACUGCUCUCCUUCCCCCCUCACCUCCCAUCUCUGCUGCCUAAUUUCCAGACCCAGAGGGAGCCCCUUGUCCCCAACUAAACACUGGAUUGUGCCAAUCCCUGGGGCUGGCCCAUGGCUAGAUCUGAUGCAUCAGGUGUGACCUAGCGCGUGCCCCAGACCUGAUGUGCUGUUUCCGACCCCUCACAAUGGCUUCAGAGUCCUGUGCUGGGUCUGGCCCUGUGUGCUGGACCUGGGGCGAUGUGCUGAGUCCAGGAGUGCACUGGCUCAGGCCAUGUGCCAGGUCAGGCCUGGACUCAGUGCACUAGAGCCCAUGCCUGGGGUCAGACCUGGCACGUGGCUUGAGCUGGACCAGUGUACUGGGUUGGUUUCCAGACCCCAUCUAGAAUGUGAGGCUGGUAGCAGGGUGGUGGGCAGGCUCAGCUCCCUAGGUACUGCCUGUUAUCUCAGUCAAAGAGCUUCCCUUUCUUCAGGCUCCCCUUCAAAAUCAAGAGGCAUUCCAUACACGGGCACACUAUUUGCAAGAAAAUAUGGUAAGUUUGAACAGACAUUUAAAUGGUUCUCAACCACUAAUUUUGGCAGAAGUAGAACAAAUGAAUAUUCCUGAAUUAUAAAUAUGAACUAGCAUAUACUUGCUAUGAAAACAAAGUUUUGUAUCCAAAGAUUGCCAGGUUUUUAUCAGUUGAAACACUGAGUUUCCAUGAAGUGUCAUCCCCCUUUAAGACAUGGAAGAAGUAAGCAAUUUAAUAUGAAAAUUAAAACCUACAAGAUUUUC